rnacentral:misc_RNA from 1 species
AAGGAGCCUAACAUGUAUGCGAGUCUUUGGGUGGCAAACCCAUAGGCGCAAUGAAAGUGAAUUCAGGUGGGAUCCGCAAGGUGCACCAUCGACCGAUCCUCACGUCUUUUAAGUCGUGGAUUUGAGUAAGAGCAUACCUGUUGGGACCCGAAAGAUGGUGAACUAUGCCUGAAUAGGGUGAAGCCAGAGGAAACUCUGGUGGAGGCUCGUAGAUGUGCUGACGUGCAAAUCGAUUUUCAGAUUUGGGUAUAGGGGCGAAAGACUAAUCGAACCAUCUAGUAGCUGGUUCCCUC